AUUUAUUCAUUUGGUCAUAACACAGUGUAGAAAGGUCCAAUUGACCUGAAAUUUUACCAGCCGAUAGCUGAGAUAUAGACCUACAACUUUCAUGAUGAAAACAAACCUAAAUUUUGAUCAUAAGAUAUUCAAAAAUUAACCUACAGUCAAUGUACAAAACACUGUAGAUUUUGUUCUAUCCAAAAAAUCGGAAAAAUUUGUAAUCCAGCCAGUUAUGGUAUUUAGGCCAUA
rnacentral:misc_RNA from 1 species